rnacentral:rRNA from 1 species
UACGUAGGGUGCAAGCGUUGUCCGGAAUUAUUGGGCGUAAAGAGCUCGUAGGCGGUUUGUUGCGUCGGCUGUGAAAACCUGAGGCUCAACCUCAGGCCUGCAGUCGAUACGAGCAGACUAGAGUGUUGCAGGGGAGACUGGAAUUCCAGGUGUAGCGGUGAAAUGCGUAGAUAUCUGGAGGAACACCAGUGGCGAAAGCGCGUGACUGGGCCACAACUGACGCUGAGGAACGAAAGCCAGGGGAGCGAAAGGG